GCCAGGUGUGGUGGUGCACACCUGUAAUCCCAGCAAUUUGAGAGGCUGAGGUAGGAGGAUCACAAGUUCAAAGUCAGCCUCAACAACUUAAAAGAGUCCCUGUCUCAA
rnacentral:sRNA from 1 species